rnacentral:lncRNA from 9 species
AGGCUGGGCUGGGAUUGCUGACUCUAAAGUUUUUUCCACUAUAUCAGGCUGCAUUCACAGUUGUAUUCAAAAGGAUGUUAGCAACCUACAUGUUUUUGAAAACUAUCCACAGUGCUGUUUGAAAAUUAUCUUAAAAGCCUUUCAAAGAAACAUAGCAGGAUAGCUUCUUAUAUUGUGAACUCAAAGAGCCCACAAUUUUUGUGACUAUGCGUGUCAUCAAGCUUAUUUGUCUAGGAUUAUGUGCUGGCUAAUGAUCCUAUUGCUUCACCAAUUACUAUGAUUAUAGAAAGAUCUUUCAUCUGGAACAGUGAGGGUGGCCUUUGGCAGCACAGAGAGGGGAGAAUGGACAACACAGUACAUCACAAUGGGACACGGGCGACCUGCCUCCACUCCCUCUGCUCGGAACUUCCGCAGAAGCAGCAGGACAAUGAAGGGAGAGGAAAGGAGACAGACUCAGACUCAGCCCUCAGAUGGAAGAUUCAGUUCUUCCUCCGGCUCUUGCUGCCCUGUGCCUAGUUCCCUACCUGGACGGAGAGAGCCUUGAGAUAUAGCCUGCCUGAAUCUGUGAAUGUUUGGCCACAUGGGAUGGGAAAGUGUUGGAGGAGGUCAUGGAGAGGACAUGACUGCUGCUUGACUGGUGAGCUGGACCUGGGCCGUUGGAAGCUUUUCAUCCCUCCUUUGUCCUUGGAACAUUCUGCCUGUUGUUCCCACAGCUGGGGCCAUUUUCAAGGAUGCAGCCUUGAGAGAAUACGUUGAGACCAUCUGGACCUUACCAGUGACUAAACCCAGUUAAGGUUUCUAUGUGGACUCUAAGAUUCCGGUGGCUGGUAAGGAGAUCUCCUGUUUUGUAUCUGCCAACACAAGAGUUGUAUAUAAAUUUCCUUGCUUAUUAAAACUGCCAUCUGUC